UGAGGAUGUGGAGAAGCCUGGCAAGGUGAAGAUGCUGGCAGCGCAUUUAACCAGCAAGAAGGCAAAGUUCUUCUUCCUCUUCCUCUCCCAGCCUUAUCGCUGACGUCCCAUUGAAGGACAUCAAGUUCAUGGAUGCCAGCCUACAGUUGCCAGACAAAGAAAACUUUCUUGGAGUAGCUGCACAAAGCCUCUUGGGGAACAACAUGGAUGAACUUUCCUCUUCUGUCCCAAUGAUGAUCCAGGCAGUGAGAGACUUCUUUGUAGCUGUGACCGCAAAGAUGAUGACUGCAUUCCCCCUCGACAACAUCAUCCUACAAAACCUGACCGUGUUGGACCCAGAGCCACGGCAUCAAUUUUCUCCAAACUCAGGUGCUGCCCAUACCUGUGCUGCUUCAAGGGGUGUGCUACUGGCUGUGAAGCAUUGGACCUUUAAAUACAACCAUGUGUAGAGGAGUGUUGUUGUUGUGGAUAUUGUUAUAGUUAGGGAAAAGUAUCCCUAGUUCUCUGUUCAUGUACAUACCUGUAUCAGUUCUUGUAUAGGAUGUUUCUGUUGAACCAUCACUACCAUCUGCUGCACAUGUACUGGACAGCUAUUUAAUUUAACUUAUUUUGUCCGAUAAAUAAACACUAUAAAAUUCAAGUAACUCACGGACCAGUAGAGGUCGGGGAGUGUUGAGUUAGGGUUAAGUGUAGGGUGCUUCAUGACAGUGUUAAAAUCAGAUGCUGGAGAAGUUCAUGGGGAAGUCUAUUAUACAAUGAUUUUAUUUCAGUUCA